rnacentral:rRNA from 1 species
AAACCAACAGGGAUUGCCUCAGUAACGGCGAGUGAAGCGGCAAGAGCUCAAAUUUGAAAGCUGGCCCCCUCGGGGUCCGCAUUGUAAUUUGCAGAGGAUGCUUCGGGAGUGGCCCCCAUCUAAGUGCUCUGGAACGGGCCGUCAUAGAGGGUGAGAAUCCCGUAUGGGAUGGGGUGUCCGCGACCAUGUGAAGCUCCUUCGACGAGUCGAGUUGUUUGGGAAUGCAGCUCUAAAUGGGUGGUAAAUUUCAUCUAAAGCUAAAUAUUGGCCGGAGACCGAUAGCGCACAAGUAGAGUGAUCGAAAGAUGAAAAGCACUUUGAAAAGAGAGUUAAAAAGCACGUGAAAUUGUUGAAAGGGAAGCGCUUGCGACCAGACUCGCCUGCGGGGUUCAGCCGGUAUUCGUACCGGUGUACUUCCCCGUGGGCGGGCCAGCGUCGGUUUGGGCGGCCGGUCAAAGGCCCUCGGAAUGUAACGCCUCUCGGGGCGUCUUAUAGCCGAGGGUGCCAUGCGGCCAGCCCGGACCGAGGAACGCGCUUCGGCACGGACGCUGGCAUAAUGGUCGUAAGCGAC